GACGAACCUUGCUAACGUUAUUCGGAAUUACUGGGCUUAAAGGGUGCGUAGGCGGUGCGGAAAGUUGGGUGUGAAAUCCCUCGCUUAACCGAGGAACUGCGCCCAAAACUACCGUGCUUGAGGGAGAUAGAGGUGAGCGGAACUUAGGGUGGAGCGGUGAAAUGCGUUGAUAUCCUAAGGAACACCGGUGGCGAAAGCGGCUCACUGGAUCUCUUCUGACGCUGAGGCACGAAAGCUAGGGUAGCAAACGGGG
rnacentral:rRNA from 1 species